rnacentral:lncRNA from 1 species
CCUGAGAACUGUAGUGUCGACGACUGAUGUUAUACUCUGGUUUCUCUUCAAAUCGUAUAAAUCUUUCGCCUUUUACUAAAGAUUUCCGUGGAGAGAAACGAGUGUGAGUCUGAAACCAAUUUUUUGAGGCCUUGCGUUUCUUAGCAGGGCUUAUUUUAAGUGUUUUAAAAACAGAUGCGAUUCCGUUAAAUCGCGUGUGGAGCUAUGUAAAGUGUAUUAUAGAACAAAUGCGAGUUACGGUUUUUCAGCUUUUCGCUUUGUUAAGUUUGUGCCUUCAGUCUCUUGCCUCGGCACCUGGGUAAUCCUCCGUCCACACUCGUCUGUCUCUCCUGCAGGCUGCAUUCGCUGAGGUGUGUCUGUGUUGUUCCCCUUUGAGUUCCAGUCAAAAAAGAUUCCUAGAGAGAAUUCGCUCUCACGCCAGGGCUAAGCUCCUCCCACCAGGUUCAUGAGCCUGGAAGUAAGUGCCGUCCACCAAUGUCCUGCCUGCUCUUCAGAGGCUCCUCAAGCCUUCCCUGCCCAGAGAGAUUCCGGGAUGAAAAGGAAAAACGUCCCUGCCUGGCAGAAAUUGAUGCUGCUUCUGGAAACGUAGGGCGGGUGGUUGUUUCCAAAAUGUGUCUGCCAUCACUUGAGCUAGUAGUGGGAGCAUCUAGUUUUGGAGCUGGACAGGCUUGGGAACGCAUCCCUGACUCCACAAAUUAUGUGACUUUGGCUUAAUGACUUAUCAUCUGGGAGCCUCACUUUCCUCAUCUGUAAAACAGGACUGACACUCACCUUGCAGGAAUACUGGAGGUCUGUACUGCGCUGCCAACAUCUAUUCGCCCUCAUCCGUGACAAGAGUACCCACAAUUUCCUCUGGGAAGCUGCUCCUCUCUGAUUAGUGUCUGUUCAGUGGUUGGAGGUUGACCCUACCCCAGCUCUGAGACGGCCUGGCCAGCCUAUCCUAAUUAGCAUAUCCCUUUCACCCUGGCCACAGUGAUUGACUUAGGGCUGGGCUGUGCAGAGGUGAGCCUCAGCUUUUUGGGUAGGAACACCAGGACUUGGAUUCCAGUGGGUUUAAUGCUAGGAGGGCAUCAAGCUUGUGAUAACUGUGGCCAUUUUUGUUACCAUAAGGGUAGCCAGUCUGAGGAUGGAAGCCAAUCUACAGGAAACAGAGCUAAGAGAUACUAAUGCAUCCCUAAAUCACUUGAGUCCUGGAUCAAACCGUUCCUGAAGCUCCUACUAAGCUACACUGUUAUGUGAACCAAUACUCUUCCUUUUGUUUAACCA